GACGAACGCUGGCGGCGUGCUUAACACAUGCAAGUCGAACGGAAAGGCCCUGCUUGCAGGGUACUCGAGUGGCGAACGGGUGAGUAACACGUGGGUGAUCUGCCCUUCACUUCGGGAUACGCCUGGGAAACUGGGUCUAAUACCGGAUAGGAGCCAUUUUUAGUGUGAUGGUUGGAAAGUUUUUUCGGUGUAGGAUGAGCUCGCGGCCUAUCAGCUUGUUGGUGGGGUAAUGGCCUACCAAGGCGGCGACGGGUAGCCGGCCUGAGAGGGUGGACGGCCACCUUGGGACUGAGAUACGGCCCAGACGCCUACGGGAGGCAGCAGUGGGGAAUAUUGCACAAUGGGCGCAAGCCUGAUGCAGCGACGCCGCGUGGGGGAUGACGGCCUUCGGGUUGUAAACUCCUUUCGCUAGGGACGAAGCUUUUUGUGACGGUACCUAGAGAAGAAGCACCGGCUAACUACGUG
rnacentral:rRNA from 1 species